rnacentral:tRNA from 2 species
AGUUCUGUGGUGUAACCACAUUAGAUUGCAAAUCUAAAGAUGCACGCUUAUUCGUGCCGGGGCUU